CAUACAAUGAAGUCUGGAGAAGUUCACAGAGAUAGGCAUCUUCCAGUGGAGCCGGUGGCCCCCUGAGAGGUGGCCAUAACUGAAGAAGGUAUAGCAACACGCGAAAUCUCUUCCCUCCAAGAAGUGCUGUGUUCAAUUUUUAUCAUCUUGUACAGUCAGAUGUCAUCAUAGAGUGAGAUCAUCCUUCUGGUCCUGUCCAGGGAUUAAUGCACAAAACAAGAUGAAAAUCAAAAGCUAACAAAAGAAGGGCCGUGUUCAUGACUUGAAUAUAAAUUGAAGGCUAUGAAGGAAUGACGUGGCACAGAGAAUUGCUGCUGGAGGCCAGUCUUUCAUCAGAGGGUCAUGUUUAGAAACUACAGCAGAUAAGAAGACCUCAGCAGCUGAAAUGUUCACAGCCUAGGACACUUAGGAAGAGAGAUCAGUCGGGACCAUGCGCUCUGGAUAGCAGAACAACUUUUAUGGAUGGAUGGGACGCAGAUUCCAUAUUAAGACAUGUCAAACCUGAAGAAAUAGGUGAAGCUUUGAUGGCUGAGCUGCUGUAAGCAAUUCACGUAAAAAUCGAAGUUCUGAAGUCCCUUGCCUUAUUCUGCCUUCCAGUAUUUCCCCUGGAAGUGAAGACCCAACUUUCAGUAUUAACCGCCUCUCUUCCAAAUUAAAAUGUAAACUAGUCCAGGUCCUCUUUUAAAUGCCUUCUUUUCAUUGCCCUUGAAAAUAUUGUAGGCCCAGGCAAGUUUGUCUCUCUGGACAUUAGAGUAGACUUUAAUGGGUUUUAGGGAACACAGAACAUUAAGUGUUGUUGGGCUUUCAGGAGGCGCUUCUGGAAGUAGAGGCUGGUACUACAUUAAGUAAAUAUUUAGCAGUGUCGAGACUCGGAUGGUGGAUACUGGAAGGAUGCAGGGAGGAAGAGAGGCGUUGUAGGAGAGCAGUGGUACUGUUAUGCCAGAGAGCGGUGAACAUAGUGGAAGUGAUGGCAUAAGGAACAGUCCUGUCAGAAGAAGUUAAAAAAGAGCAACUGUGAGUUUUGAACAUUAUUUUUAAAUAAAUUAAUUUUUCAAUAAUAUCUCUUUCCUUACAACGGAGGAAAACCUUCCUUGUUCUUUUAUUUAUCUUGCCUUUUUCCACUAAAAGUAUGGAGCUAAAUUUAAGUGAGACUUAGGGUUUUUUUCUUACAAAGAAAAUGCAGGAAGACAAUUUAAAAUGCUAACCUUUCUUUUUUACUCAAAUAUUCAUUGGAAAGGGAACACUAACUUUUUUUCUUGUUCCAAAACAUUUAGUCAAAAUAGGGAUUGGUUACUUCUUUUCAGUUGAUCAUUUCAACUAAACUAAAAAGGUAAAAGAAUUCAGAAAUUUCAUUUUAAUCUGCAAGACAAAUUACAUAAUACUUUUGUUGACUGUCUAGUAGUUAGAAGUGGACUUGGUAAUCUGAAGGAAAUGUCAAGACUUCAUAUUUUUGCUUUUAACCUUAUCAAAGUGCCAGAAUUUUGGAAUACUUUGUAAAGAAAAAUGUUCUGAAGAUUUUGUGGACUUAAAAUUAUCUUUUGUAUCAUGAAAAUUUUAAACAUAAAAUUAAUUUUAAAACCCCAAUUUUUCAAUUUUAGGAAAAUUCAGUAUUUGGAACAUUUUGAACAAAUUGUUGUUCAAAAGAAGUUCCUUUAUAUUCCCAGAAAUCUAGUCAGUCGUACUCUAAUUCCUUUCCACAUAUUUUUAAAAAAGCCAUGGUUUUUAGGUUUCAUCAGCAAGCAAUGCACAGAGUGCAAACAUAGACCAAUUUAGCAUGGUGAACUAGUGUAACAAUCAGCUUACUAGACAGACAACUAUUCAUGGUAUGUCUUGUCAUAUAGUUACUCAUAUUUUCCCUGAGAUACUGUGGACUAGUUACUUGUUAAGCAACUCGGGUCACUACUUUUCAUUCAAAUAGGGUUAUUUUUUUGGCUGAACGACUGAAGUAAAGAAUAUUAAUUAUGAAUUCAGCUGUUUCUUCUGUUUGUGAAUCAUUCAUGAAUUAGGCCUGAUUUCUGUGAAUGCCAUUUUUAUUUGUCAGUAGUCUCUGAAUAUUUUCAAUGAAUAACUUAAAGCUUAAGGGUUUUUUGAGCACUGUUUGUCUUGAGACUAUUCAUUAUUUAUAUCGAACUAUUAGACAUAUGACAUAGUUUAAGGAACUUGUCUGGAAGACCAGCAUAUUUUAAUUAUGGAAAAAACAAACACACACACAAAAAGAAAACCCAAACCAAAAUUGAACAUGGUAAAAUGCUUCAGUCUAAUAUUUAUUUGCAGAAUGGUUAACAGAGCAUGCAUCUGGCCUCAGAACAUUUUCCAUGAGUAUUUCAUAACUUUCUCACCACCAAAAUCUCAGCUCAUUGAUCAAAUAAAUUGUUAUAAAUCUGCUAUCCAUACAUGGUAGAUUUUAUUUAAUGGAGGCAUGUAAAAUAUGUAAAUGUAUGUUUAUAACUGUAUUCGUGCACCCUCUUUUGUAUAAUAGUGUUGAUUUAGUACUCCACUGAGGUCCCCUUUGGUGUUUAUGUUUGCUUUCUCCUGUUGUUUUGUGCGUGUUUAUUCAUUCAAAAUAUGCAUUUUUCAAACGAUGGCCAUUUGCUUUCAUUUCUGCUUUACUUUCUUCCUUUACAGUUAAUAACAUCAUGAUAGUUUUGCCAAUGAAGAAACUAGGCAUGUUUAAUGUUCCUACAUCAGAACUCCACUUCCCUGUCCUCAUCCCUCCAAAUGCAAAAUAAAAUCAGCAUCUGUUUAGACCCAAAAUCUAAUUUAUAAAAUACAGCAAAUAAUGUGACUUUGAAAUUAAUCUGCCCAGCAGAGAAAAAGUUGGGAUUAUUUCCUGUUAGCUCAUUUCGAAUGCUGAAACUAUUAAAAAAAAAGAAAAAGCCCACUUACAACUUCAAAAUAGUUCUGGUGUCCAAACCUGUUGCAUAUGGUGUCUGCUUCAGUGUGUGGCAUGGCUUGCUGAGCUGUGACCCAGUGAUUUUUAUAAACUGAGUGCAGUAGCAGGUUCAGACUGCAUGCUAUUGUCUGCCAAGCUCUGUCAAGAUACGCACAGAGAGAGAGCUUGUGUCCAAGAACAAAUCUUUGACUGGUUGACACUAAAAAACCACUCUCCAAAACAUAA